UAAUACGAAGGUCCCGAGCGUUAUCCGGAUUUAUUGGGUUUAAAGGGUGCGUAGGCGGGUUAUUAAGUCAGUGGUGAAAGCCUUCAGCUCAACUGAAGAACUGCCAUUGAUACUGAUGAUCUUGAGUAUGAUUGAGGUAGGCGGAAUGUGUCAUGUAGCGGUGAAAUGCUUAGAUAUGACACAGAACACCGAUUGCGAAGGCAGCUUACUAAGUCAUAACUGACGCUGAUGCACGAAAGCGUGGGGAGCAAACAGGAUUAGAUACCCUGGUAGUCCACGCCCUAAACGAUGAUCACUCGAUGUGUGCGAUACACUGUACGCGUCUGAGCGAAAGCAUUAAGUGAUCCACCUGGGGAGUACGACCGCAAGGUUG
rnacentral:rRNA from 1 species